rnacentral:lncRNA from 13 species
GGCGUGUUCCUUCUAACUCGCUAAUUUGCGACAUUUGGAAGCCCCAGUGAGAAAUUUGCCACCAGGUGCAAACUGGGCUCGUUCAGAGCUCCCACGGGGGAGGAGGCGGACUGCAGGGGAGGCGCCUGUUCCAGGGUCCCAUUAACCACCCCUUACCGGAGGAGAGCGGAUCCCCGGUGCACUCCACUAAAUUAUUCUUCGGAGUCCCUGGUCCUGCUCCGCGGAGAAGAUACUAUCAAGCUUCAGAUGAUUAUUCCACAAGUGUUCCAGCCAAUCCACACCAGGCCAUCAAGGAGCUACCUUGCCUCCACUAGACAAAGCAGGGUAAGAGUUCUAUAAUCCCCAAGAAGUUGGGAUUAUGCCCCAAGCCAGCAUGAAACAGUUACAGAAGAAAGACCAGUGGUCCCUCUGCCUCCCAUAAGGAUUUAUGGGGAUCACAUCUUUCAGGGGUAAAUGAGGAGAAUAGGGCAUGAAGGCAGAGAACCUAAAGACUUCCUAGAACUAAAUGAAAUGGAAACACUUCAGCUAUGACAGGAAAUACCCUCUUUAUUUACAUAGGAUGUACACUGAGUAAACGACUUCAUAAUUUUACAUUGUUCUCUUCAUUUAUAUAGGGUAUACACCAAAUAACCAAUGGAAAGCUCAAGAAUAUUUAAACCCCAGAAAAUUCUUGACACUUGAACCCCUCUAAUCAGACCCCCAUCCACACUGGUUUUGUUGCUUCAUUCUUUCCUUGCCUUGUUUGUACAUUUUGUCCGAUUCUUUGUUCAAGAUGCCAAGAACCUGGACACCUUCCACUGGCAACAGUUGGAACAAGGUAGAGACUAAUCUUCUGCCACAGUCAGAAAUAGUGCAUUCA